rnacentral:rRNA from 1 species
AGUGAACGCUGGCGGUAGGCCUAACACAUGCAAGUCGAACGGCAGCACAGUAAGAGCUUGCUCUUACGGGUGGCGAGUGGCGGACGGGUGAGGAAUACAUCGGAAUCUACUUUUUCGUGGGGGAUAACGUAGGGAAACUUACGCUAAUACCGCAUACGACCUACGGGUGAAAGCAGGGGAUCUUCGGACCUUGCGCGAUUGAAUGAGCCGAUGUCGGAUUAGCUAGUUGGCGGGGCAAAGGCCCACCACGGCGACGAUCCGUAGCUGGUCUGAGAGGGUGAUCAGCCACACGGGAACUGAGAAACGGUCCAGACUCCUACGGGAGGCAGCGGUGGGGAAUAUUGGACAAUGGGGGCGAGCCUGAUCCAGCCAUACCGCGUGGGUGAAGAAGGCCUUCGGGUUGUAAAGCCCUUUUGUUGGGAAAGAAAAGCAGCAGGUUAAUACCCCGCUGUUCUGACGGUACCCAAAGAAUAAGCACCGGCUAACUUCGUG